rnacentral:rRNA from 1 species
GACGAACGCUGGCGGCGUGCUUAACACAUGCAAGUCGAACGGUGAAGCGGGUGCUUGCACUCGUGGAUCAGUGGCGAACGGGUGAGUAACACGUGAGUAACCUGCCCUCCACUCUGGGAUAAGCGCUGGAAACGGCGUCUAAUACUGGAUACGACCGACCCUCGCAUGGGGUGUUGGUGGAAAGAUUUAUCGGUGGUGGAUGGACUCGCGGCCUAUCAGCUUGUUGGUGGGGUAAUGGCCUACCAAGGCGACGACGGGUAGCCGGCCUGAGAGGGCGACCGGCCACACUGGGACUGAGACACGGCCCAGACUCCUACGGGAGGCAGCAGUGGGGAAUAUUGCACAAUGGGCGAAAGCCUGAUGCAGCGACGCCGCGUGAGGGAUGACGGCCUUCGGGUUGUAAACCUCUUUCAGCAGGGAAGAAGCUUUUGUGACGGU